CCUACGGGUGGCUGCCGUGAGGAAUAUUGGUCAAUGGGCGUAAGCCUGAACCAGCCAAGUCGCGUGAGGGAUGAAGGUUCUAUGGAUCGUAAACCUCUUUUAUAAGGGAAUAAAGUGUGGGACGUGUCCUAUUUUGUAUGUACCUUAUGAAUAAGGAUCGGCUAACUCCGUGCCAGCAGCCGCGGUAAUACGGAGGAUCCGAGCGUUAUCCGGAUUUAUUGGGUUUAAAGGGUGCGUAGGCGGAAUGCCAAGUCAGCGGUAAAAUCGCGGGGCUCAACCUCGCUCCGCCGUUGAAACUGGCGUUCUUGAGUGGGCGAGAAGUAUGCGGAAUGCGUGGUGUAGCGGUGAAAUGCAUAGAUAUCACGCAGAACUCCGAUUGCGAAGGCAGCAUACCGGCGCCCAACUGACGCUGAAGCACGAAAGCGUGGGUAUCGAACAGGAUUAGAUACCCUGGUAGUC
rnacentral:rRNA from 1 species